GACGAACGCUGGCGGCGUGCUUAACACAUGCAAGUCGAACGAAGAGCGAUGGAAGCUUGCUUCUCUCAAUCUUAGUGGCGAACGGGUGAGUAACGCGUAAUCAACCUGCCCUUCAGAGGGGGACAACAGUUGGAAACGACUGCUAAUACCGCAUACGAUCUAAUCUCGGCAUCGAGGAUAGAUGAAAGGUGGCCUCUACAUGUAAGCUAUCACUGAAGGAGGGGAUUGCGUCUGAUUAGCUAGUUGGAGGGGUAACGGCCCACCAAGGCGAUGAUCAGUAGCCGGUCUGAGAGGAUGAACGGCCACAUUGGGACUGAGACACGGCCCAGACUCCUACGGGAGGCAGCAGUGGAGAAUCUUCCGCAAUGGACGAAAGUCUGACGGAGCAACGCCGCGUGAGUGAUGACGGCCUUCGGGUUGUAAAGCUCUGUUAAUCGGGACGAAAGGCCUUCUUGCGAAUAGUGAGAAGGAUUGACGGUACCGGAAUAGAAAGCCACGGCUAACUACGUG
rnacentral:rRNA from 1 species